rnacentral:ncRNA from 2 species
GACGAACCGUGCAAACGUUAUUCGGAAUCACUGGGCUUAAAGGGCGCGUAGGCGGGUGAUCAAGUCAAUGGUGAAAUCCUCCAGCUUAACUGGAGAAGUGCCUUUGAUACUGAUUGUCUAGAGGGAGGUAGGGGCAUGUGGAACUUCAGGUGGAGCGGUGAAAUGCGUAGAUAUCUGAAGGAACGCCAGUGGCGAAAGCGAUGUGCUGGACCUCUUCUGACGCUGAGGCGCGAAAGCUAGGGGAUCAAACGGG